rnacentral:misc_RNA from 1 species
CAGAGUUUCAAGACUCCCUAAACCAUUGUGAACCUACCUCUACCUGUUGCCUUCGGCGGGCUGCCAGCCCGCUCCCGGUCCCCCCGGGACGGCCCGCCAGAGGAUACCCUAAACUCUUGACAUUUGCCUCUCUGUAAUUAUGCGUUAAACAUGAAUAAGUCA